ACAAGAGACGUGUUAACCGUUUCUGAGUAUUCUAACGCUCGGAACGCAGACUGUCAAAUAAGAGUUCACAGAGAGACAUGUAGGGAAGGACGAAGUAAAUGCAGGCGCAAGAAUACAAAAUAGCGGUACGGGGUUGUGUUCUGGGCGAAAACGCUAUUUUACACAGUUCAUGAAUACGAAAAGGUGUAUGGCAUGAUAUGCAUGAGGUGAGAUGGCGAUAGAAGGAAGAAAGUAUGCAUGGCGCAUAAAUCUAGGACGAGGCUGUAAGAGCGCGUAUGAUGUGAGAUGGCGAUGGUAGGAAGAGGAUAUUCACAGAGCAUGAAAAAAGAAAGGGGUAUGUGAACGUGCGAGAGCGCGGCUAGCGAACCAAAAUAGGGUAUGCACAGUGCAUGAACAGCGAAUAGGGGCGCAGAUAACGACAAAAGAAGUUAUGCACAGCACAUCAAAAAAGGAGCAUGGAAACGUGCAAGGGUGGCGGAACAAAGAAUAGGGGCAUGAGAAAGUUCAGGGAGUGGGUAGCGAUAUGAAAAUGAAGAAGGAUGAAAAUUCAGAGCAGGGUAACUGACUGGCUUAUGGCAGCCAAGCGCUGAUAGCGACAUUGCCUCCUAUCAACUUAAGGCAGAAUUCAGUAAGUGUAGGAUUGUUCGCCCACCAAUAGGGAACAGGACCUGGGGUUUCGACCGUUUUCAGACAGGAUGGUUUUACUCUACUGGUGUUGUUGCAAUAGUAAUUUAGCUUGAUACAAGAGGAACCGUUCAUUGGGAUAACUGGUAUUUAGGCCUACCUGAGCAGGCAAGGGUUCAAGGCUAUCUCCCGUUAGGGUUAUGGCUGAACGCCGCCAAGUCAGAACCCGUGCUGGAACGUGACGAUUGCCGCCAUUUCCGAUUUCUAGUUGAAUACGAGUAAAUCUUAGGAUCCUAGAUCAUACUACAAUGGGUCUUGUAGAGCGGAAAGGCUUUGUGAGGUUCCUGCUAAUGUUGAUUUCAAAUAUUGGAAGAGAUAAAUCGAUUAGACGACUUUGAUUGAACGGAGUAUUGUAAGCCGUAGAAUAGCCUUGUUGUUACGACUUGCUAAGGUUAGGCCCAUUGUACUUCUUACA
rnacentral:ncRNA from 1 species